UACGUAGGGUGCAAGCGUUGUCCGGAAUUAUUGGGUUUAAAGGGUCCGCAGGCGGUCUUAUAAGUCAGUGGUGAAAGCCUACAGCUCAACUGUAGAACUGCCAUUGAUACUGUAAGACUUGAAUUCGAUCGAAGUGGGCGGAAUAUGACAUGUAGCGGUGAAAUGCUUAGAUAUGUCAUAGAACACCGAUAGCGAAGGCAGCUCACUAGGUCUGGAUUGACGCUCAGGGACGAAAGCGUGGGGAGCAAACAGG
rnacentral:rRNA from 1 species